rnacentral:rRNA from 1 species
AACGCUAGCUACAGGCUUAACACAUGCAAGUCGAGGGGCAGCAUGGUCUUAGCUUGCUAAGGCUGAUGGCGACCGGCGCACGGGUGAGUAACACGUAUCCAACCUGCCGUCUACUCUUGGCCAGCCUUCUGAAAGGAAGAUUAAUCCAGGAUGGCAUCAUGAGUUCACAUGUCCGCAUGAUUAAAGGUAUUUUCCGGUAGACGAUGGGGAUGCGUUCCAUUAGAUAGUAGGCGGGGUAACGGCCCACCUAGUCAACGAUGGAUAGGGGUUCUGAGAGGAAGGUCCCCCACAUUGGAACUGAGACACGGUCCAAACUCCUACGGGAGGCAGCAGUGAGGAAUAUUGGUCAAUGGGCGAUGGCCUGAACCAGCCAAGUAGCGUGAAGGAUGACUGCCCUAUGGGUUGUAAACUUCUUUUAUAAAGGAAUAAAGUCGGGUAUGCAUACCCGUUUGCAUGUACUUUAUGAAUAAGGAUCGGCUAACUCCGUGCCAGCAGCCGCGGUAAUACGGAGGAUCCGAGCGUUAUCCGGAUUUAUUGGGUUUAAAGGGAGCGUAGAUGGAUGUUUAAGUCAGUUGUGAAAGUUUGCGGCUCAACCGUAAAAUUGCAGUCGAUACUGGAUGUCUUGAGUGCAGUUGAGGCAGGCGGAAUUCGUGGUGUAGCGGUGAAAUGCUUAGAUAUCACGAAGAACUCCGAUUG